UCGCUGUGCGUGGGGUCCCGAGCUCCGUGUGCGGGGCUGUCCCGGUGCCGGGGCCAGGAGGCGAAUCCCGGCACCUGGGGGGUGGGUCCGGGCGCUUUGCUGUGUGUGCAGCCCCGGCAGCCGGGCACAGAGCUCUGCGGCGCUCCGGGGGCACGGCGCGGCCCCGCGCGGGCGGUGCAGCUCAGGGCUGCAGCUGCUCGGGGAGUGUCCGGCAUCUGGGGAACCCGAAGGCAGGAAGGGUCGGAGACCUGCCCCGACCCAGAGGUACGUGAGGGAGGGCCGGUUCCGCAUCGAGGAGAGGACGCUGACGGCCUUCCACUGGCUGUACUCUCCCCAGCAGCACCGCAUCGUCAGCCGCGCCGACCUGGGCUCGCCCAGCAGGAUUGACAAGACGAUGCUGGCCAGCCUGAAGAUGAAGAAGCAGGAGCUGCUGAGCAGUGCGGAUGUGACCCUCCCGGAGCGGCCGCUGUCCCCUCCGCUCACUGCCCCCCCAACCAUGAAGUCUGCAGAAUUCUUCGAAAUGUUGGAGAAGAUGCAGGCACCAAAACUUGAAGAUCAGAAAGCUGGAAGCCAAAAACAUAAGGAGGACUACAUCCCGUACCCCAGCAUCGAUGAGAUCCUGGAGAAGGGCAGCCCCUACCCGCUGGUCAUCCUGCCCCAGUUUGGGGGGUACUGGAUUGAGGACCCAGAGAACCUCGGUACACCCACCUCAUCCGACAGCAGUGUCUGCGAGGAGGAGGAGGAGAACUUCAGCCCCAGCCCCUACGGGUACAAGCUGGAGUGCAAAGGAGAGGCCAGAGCCUACAGGAAACACUUCCUGGGGAAGGACCACUUAAACUUCUACUGCACGGCCAGCAGCCUGGGAAACCUGAUCCUUUCUGUUAAGUGUGAGGAGGCGGAUGGCACCGAGUAUUUAAGGAUUAUACUCAGGUCCAAAGUGAAGACGGUGCAUGAAAGGAUUCCUCUGGCAGGAUUUAGCAAGCUGCCCAGCAUCCCACAGAUCGCGAAGGCCUUCUGCGAUGAUGCCUCUGGACUGAAGUUUAAUCCGGUUCUGUACCCCAAGGCCUCCCAGAUGAUAGUGGCUUACGAUGAGCACGAGGUCAACAACACGUUCAAGUUUGGCGUCAUCUACCAGAAGUUCAGGCAGACCCAGGAGGAAGAGCUGUUCGGCAACAACGAAGAGAGCGCUGCCUUCAGAAACUUCUUACAUUUGCUGGGAGACACCAUAACACUGCAGGACUUUAAAGGUUUCCGAGGAGGCCUGGAUGUCAGCCACGGGCAGACGGGGGUUGAGUCCGUGUACACCGUGUUCCGGGACAGGGAGAUCAUGUUCCACGUCUCCACCAAGCUGCCUUUCACGGAAGGCGACACCCAGCAGCUGCAGAGGAAGAGACACAUUGGCAAUGACAUUGUGGCAAUUAUCUUUCAAGAAGAGAACACGCCAUUUGUCCCGGACAUGAUUGCCUCCAAUUUCUUGCACGCCUACAUUGUGGUGCAGGUGGAGAACCCCGAUGCAGACUCCACAUCCUACAAGGUCUCUGUCACGGCCCGGGAAGAUGUCCCCUCCUUCGGCCCGCCACUGCCGAGCCCGCCCGUGUUUCAGAAGAGCCCCGAGUUCCGGGAGUUCCUGCUCACCAAGCUCAUCAACGCCGAGAACGCCUGCUGCAAGUCAGACAAGUUUGCCAAGCUGGAGGACCGGACGCGUGCCGCCCUGCUGGACAACCUCCAUGACGAGCUCCACGGGCACACACAGACCAUGCUGGGGCUGGGGCCCGAGGAGGACAAGCUGGAGAACGGAGGGCACGGGGGCUUCCUGGAGUCUUUCAAGAGAGCCAUCCGCGUGCGCAGCCACUCCAUGGAGACGAUGGUGGGCAGCCAAAGGAAGCAGCAUGGCGGCGGCAUCCCGGGCAGCCUGAGCGGGGGCAUUGCGCACAACAGCGGUGAGGUGACCAAGACCACCUUCUCGCCCCCGGUCUCGGCAGCCGCAGCCAAGAACCAGUCGAGGAGUCCCAUCAAGCGCCGCUCGGGGCUGUUCCCACGCCUGCACACGGGGUCAGAGAGCCAGGCGGACAGCAGGGCGCGAUGUGACAGUAUUUCUGGAGCACAGAAGACACCCGAUGCUGGACAUUCAUCCCAGGAGAUGAAAUCUGAGACCUCGUCCAACCCCAGCUCCCCUGAAAUAUGCCCCAACAAAGACAGGCCCUUCAUCAAGCUGAAGGAGAACGGCCGGUCCAACAUCUCGCGCUCCUCCUCGAGCACCAGCAGCUUCAGCAGCACGGCGGGGGAGAGCGAGACGCUGGAGGAGUACGACAGCGUGGGCAGCCAGCCAUCCACUGCAUCGCCCUUCAAGCAGGACGUGUUCAUCUACAGCGCAUCGCCCGGCAGUGACAGCCCGAGCGUGGGGGCCGCGGCCACCCCGGUCAUCAUGAGCCGGAGCCCCACAGCAGAUAUAAAGAACAGAAACUCCCCAAGGUCAAACCUGAAGUUCCGCUUCGACAAGCUCAGCCACGGCAGCUCCAGCACGGUACGCACCGGCCGCUCUCGGCCGUGGGGAUGCCCUGCAGGGCCCGGCGCCGGGGGCUGAGGCCGCGCCGGUUUGUGUGUCGUUGUGCCUUUGUCUGCAACCCAACCUGAAUUCUGGUUUUUCAUUUAGAGUCACUAGCAGGAAAAAGGAGGUCGAGAACUUUUCAGCGAGAAUUUUUGUUUCAGCAAAGGGAAAACCUCACCGCCCCGUGGGAACGCGCGCACCCCGCACGCCAGCACGGUCCCCUCCCCGCUGCAGCCGACCCAGCGCCCGCUGCAGGACGUCGCCUGGCUCCCGUCCCCAGCAGCCCCAGCCCUCCCCACGCCCCCUGCCCGCCCCGCGGCCCCGGUCCCAGCAGGCUGCGGGCAGGGGCUGCGCGGGCCCCCGGGCGGUUUGGGGUCUCCGUCCGGUGCUUGUGCCAUCCACGCAAACACUCCCGUGGGUGUUUUUCCUGCUGGCAGGGCAGGUGUUCAGGCACGGGCGGAUUUGGUUCUCCAGUUUUGGAGCUGGUUGUGGCAGCGGCGCGAGCCUGGGGCUCAUGCGCUGCCUCUGCUGACUUCAGCCCCAGCUCUUGGGCUGCAAAACACCUGGGGGCAAUGCGGCCCCGUGCCCGCCGGGUGCCGGCACAGGUGGCAGCGGGGCCGUCUGCCCUCUCUGCGUGGCCUCAGUGCUUCUUCCCUGCCCAGAACUCCAGCGAGGGCCUGGGAAAGUCAGACCGAAUCCCAAACUGGUGCUGGGAGCACACUGAGCCCGCGGGCUCUGCCUCGUCCCGGGGCUGCUCCGUCCGCCCGUGGCUGGGAUGGGGCUGGGCUGCCCCACCCCUUGCAGCAUCAGUCCGCCGCCUCUGAGCGCGCUUCUGUUCGCUUUGCAAAAGGGCGGUGGCGGUUCUGCAAGGUGCCCUCCCCGUGACUCCCUGCAGAAGACGCCCCUGACCACGCAGAAACCCCUCUGCUCUUAGGGAGCUUUGUGUAAGGUUCACUGAAGUCUGUCCACUACGUUCAGGGUGAUCCCAGAUUGCCCCUGUUAGUUCUUUAAAUGCUGCAGAGGCGCAGCAUUGCAUCUUGCCACAACCCGUGACCUCUGCAAAAGCAACCGCAAGAAGUAAGGCUCUUCGUUUCAAGUGGAAACCGUUUUUUGAGUUCACGGCUCCUAACGGCACGCGGCUGCGAGUGCCAAAGCCGACGGCACGCGGCUCGGGCCGCCCCGGGGGCACGCGGAGCGCUGUCCCCGCCCCAAACGGCGCUGAGCGGUGCUGAGCGGUGCUGCUCGCGCCGUGCCUCCCCCCACCCCCAAAGGAAGGGCUGCGGUCUGGUGGGAGAGGGAUCCGAAUAACGAAGGAAUCGCGUCGCGGGGAACGCGAAGGACUCCUCCCGAUGGGCGCUGAGCGCUCCCUCCCGCGGUCAGUGAGUUGCGUUCAAAUCGCAUUUAAAUCUCGAGAUGCUCUUUGCCGGAGCAGAAGCGUACGCUCCGGUUCCCCCCGCUUUGCUGCGCUCCGGGAGCACUUUAACCCCCGCCCUUCGCGGAUCGUUGCGGGGCGGGGCGGCCGUGUCCGCGGGGCUCCGUGCGGCUUUUCCCGCAAGUUGUGUGAUUUCUAUGGGCGUCGUUGUUCGCGCGCGUUGAUCUCCGUGAGAUCUUUCAGCGGAAGAUGCAGUGGCUGCUCUCGUCCGGGCUUUUGUUUUCGGGUUGUUGUUUUGUUUCUGUUAUUACUUGAAGCUGUGAGGUUCCUUCUGGCUCGGGGCUGGAGGGCUCUGGGAGGGCUGCAGCGCCUGGAGCGGUGCGCGGUGCGGCAGCCGCCCUCGCUGCCCCGGGUGCCCGUGCUGCCGGACCCUGGGGGGGUCGCGCUCCAGCGGUGGGUGAGGGCGUUCCUGCAUAUACAUUGCAAAACGUUUUGUGCUUCUACGUGACACACGCACACAUGUACACACCUAUAUACAAAUGGAAGUGCUUUUUUUUCUGGGUAAAAAGGGACGGUCCCAAGCACCGAUUCAGUUUCUUUCCAGAGUUUUGGGGUCUUCGGUGACGGCAGGUGCAGGGCCGGGUUGUUUCCUUGGCACCGGCGGGCUCGGGAACCCCGAUGGAGGCCGUGACCCUGGGCUCGCUCAGCUGCCGGUGCUGCAGGGGCAGUGGGUGCUGGGGGUGCCCCUUGGCCCCGCUCCCCCCGGGGCACCUUGCACUGCCUGGCCCGUGUGUGGCUGGGACGUGCUCGUCUCGGAACCUUAGAGCAUGCUUCAUUGUUUUAACAAAUGUAGCACUGCGUAUAUCCUGCAAAGGAAAAUGCUGAAUUUAUAUCAUUAGAAAGUGAAGAGAGUUUAUAGAGUGGAAAAAAAAUCUUGAAAAAUGUAUCUGACAGAAGUUUAUUUUUUAUGUGGAGAGGCAGUGCUUCGUAGUUCCUGGUGGCCUAUGUCUGUUGUAAAUAAUGUACAUUUAAUUUAUUGCUAUGGUAGCAGAUUGUAUUUGUUAUGUAUAAAAUUAAAGGUUCACAAAUGUAUAUUUUGUUGCUUAAAUGUGACUUUGCAAAAUUCACAAUAAAUAACAUAUUUUGUGUCCAUA